rnacentral:rRNA from 1 species
AACGAACGCUGGCGGCGUGGAUUAGGCAUGCAAGUCGAACGAUCUCGAGCAAUCGGGAUAGUGGCAAAAGGGUGAUUAACGCGUGGGUAACCUACCUUCGAACUCGGGAUAACUUCGCGAAAGCGAGGCUAAUACCGGAUAAGACCACGAUUCAUAAGGAUUGUGGUAAAAGAUGGCCUCUAUUUAUAAGCUGUCAUUGGAAGGGGGGCCCGCGUCCUAUCAGCUUGUUGGUGAGGUAACGGCUCACCAAGGCAUUUGACGGGUAGCUGGUCUGAGAGGAUGGUCAGCCACACUGGGACUGAGACACUGCCCAGACUCCUACGGGAGGCUGCAGUCGAGAAUCUUUAGCAAUGGGCGAAAGCCUGACUAUGCGACGCCGCGUGAGCGAUGAAGGCCUUCGGAUUGUAAAGCUCUGUCAGGUGGGAUGAAUACUCGUGUUCUAAAUAAGAGCAGAGUUUGACGGUACCGCCAGAGAAGCCACGCUAACU